UUUCCUAGCUUUCUGCUUUUUUUUGUAACCUUUAUCUACAUUCCUUGUUUUGUCUAUUUUUCUUUUCUAUUGGGGUCUAUGUAUGUAAAAAGGCAGGUGCUUUUGAAAGUUUCUAUUCAAUGU
rnacentral:ribozyme from 1 species